rnacentral:rRNA from 1 species
GCCAGCCGCUCAGAAACUUAAGGAAUUGACGGGGCCGCACAAGCGGUGGAGUAUGUGGUUUAAUUCGAUGCAACGCGAAGAACCUUACCUGGUCUUGACAUCCCGGAGACCCUUAGGAAACUAGGGGGUGCUUCCAUCUGGAAGAAUCUGGAGACAGGUGCUGCAUGGCUGUCGUCAGCUCGUGUCGUGAGAUGUUGGGUUAAGUCCCGCAACGAGCGCAACCCUUGCCUUUAGUUGCCAGCAGUUCGGCUGGGCACUCUAAAGGGACUGCCGGUGUUAAACCGGAGGAAGGUGGGGAUGACGUCAAGUCCUCAUGGCCUUUAUGACCAGGGCUACACACGUACUACAAUGGCCGAUACAGAGGGCAGCGACACUGCGAGGUGAAGCCAAUCCCGUAAAAUCGGUCUCAGUCCGGAUUGGAGUCUGCAACUCGACUCCAUGAAGUUGGAAUCGCUAGUAAUCGUGAUCAGCAUGCCACGGUGAAUACGUUCCCGGGCCUU